AAUAGUUAAAACUUUCAACAACGGAUCUCUUGGUUCUGGCAUCAAUAAAAAACCCACCGAAUUGCGAUAAGUAAUGUGAAUUGCAGAAUUCAGUGAAUCAUCGAAUCUUUGAACGCACAUUGCGCCCGGUGGUAUUCCGCCGGGCAUGCCUGUUCGAGCGUCAUUAUAACCAAUCAUGCCUGGCAUGGUGUUGGGGCACGCGGUCUCGCGGCCCUCAAAAUCAGUGGCGGUGCCGGUAGGCUCUAAGCGUAGUAAUUCUUCUCGCUACAGGGUCCUGCGGGUGGCUUGCCAGAACCCCCCAUUUUUUCAGGUUGACCUCGGAUCAGGUAGGGAUACCCGCUGAACUUAAGCAUAUCAAUAAGCGGAGGAAAAGAAACCAACAGGGAUUACCUCAGUAACGGCGAGUGAAGCGGUAACAGCUCAAAUUUGAAAGCUCCCCACAGGGCGCAUUGUAAUUUGUAGAGGAUGCUUUGGGGGUCGGCCCGGUUUAAGUUCCUUGGAACAGGACGUCAUAGAGGGUGAGAAUCCCGUAUGUGACCGGUGCUAGCCUUCGUGUAAAGCUCCUUCGACGAGUCGAGUUGUUUGGGAAUGCAGCUCAAAAUGGGUGGUAUAUUUCAUCUAAAGCUAAAUAUUGGCCAGAGACCGAUAGCGCACAAGUAGAGUGAUCGAAAGAUGAAAAGCACUUUGGAAAGAGAGUUAAACAGUACGUGAAAUUGUUGAAAGGGAAGCGCUUGCAAUCAGACUUGCGGGCGGUCGAUCAUCCGAGCUUCUGCCCGGUGCACUCGAU
rnacentral:rRNA from 1 species